UUGCAGACUUACAAGGUAUCUGAAACUUCUUUAUUUCUAGCUGGUUCCUCCCUCUUUGAACUCAUCUGGAUCUGGCUUAUUUCAAAUGUCCAUCCCCACAGUGCCUGCUGUGUAUGGGGAAAUAGACUUGGCAUGGGGAAUGCUCAGAAGCUCAAGAUAAGGCCUCUGUACCACAAGAUAAAGCUCAUUGUCUAAUAGAUAGACAAGUAAACCUCUAUGAGAUCAGGUAAGUAAAUCUCCUGGCAGGGAAAAUACCAAACAUAUUCUAAAUUCAAACUUAAAUUAUUUGAGGAAUAUACAUUCUUAUUUUCUCUGUUAGCAUUGUUACUCAUUUAAUUCAAUUCCAGACACUGUUUUGGGGCAGAUAUUAAAUCAUAUUCUGGUAUUACAGCUGGAUAAAAAGGUCAACAUAAUGCCUUCUUACUUUAUCAGGAAAGACAGAUAAUUAAGAAGUAUUUAUUUAAGAUAAGUGUCAGGACCCAAAAACAUUAAAUACCAAGGCAGUAUGCUUUAAAUAGCAUGGAAUAACUAUGUUAUUUAAAUAAAAUACCAUUACAACAAAUAAUUACAAGAAGGAAGAGUACUCAUUACAUAGGACACAUUAUGGACCUUUCAUAGGACAAAUAAAAUAAUAAGAUAUCGCUGAUUAAGAUAUCAUUGAUCAAGUUAAGUUAGCUAUUUAAGGAAUACUUCUAUAAAACAGGCUUUUUUUCUUAUGGUAAAAUUCUUACAGUUUUCAAUGGUACACCAUUACUUUCAUAAUAAAGUUAAACUUUUCUGCUUACCACAGGAGGCCAUUGAGGAUAUGGCCUUUCUUUUCUCUAGAUUCAUCUCUUACAAUUUUACAACAGUUUUUUCAUACCCUCCUUGAAAUCUAAACUACUUUCACAUUAGCUCACAAUGUUGUGUCAUACCUCUCUUCAUGUCUAUGUGCUGUUUAUUUACGUAGCGUUAUUCAUCCCACUUAUGUUUCA
rnacentral:lncRNA from 1 species